UAAAAAAAAAAAAAAAAAACUAAUUGCAUACUAGAAUAUCUGUUAUGGGGGUGUUUGUGUAAUAAUUCAAAACUAGAGUAGCUUACUAAUAAUAUUCAGCCACCUUCUUCACCUAAUUCAGUAACUCGUAAAUGGUUUAGUAGUAAUUCUACAACAUCUAAGUUCAGUCGUCAAGGUUUCUUUAUGUUGGAUUACGAAGAAGGUGAGAAAUUGAUUUUACUUUUCCAAAAUAGAGCAGAAAUCUAAGUUCAGUUGUUAAGGUUUCUUUAUGUUGGAUUAU
rnacentral:misc_RNA from 1 species